CACCUAUACCAAUGACAACUUUGAUGAUCCAUUCGGCCGGCAACGCUGCUAUUUAAAGCGUACCAUCACCAUGCCUGCUCCUCCUAAAGUUAGCAAAGUGGCCAAUGUGGUAUCAGGCUUCCAGCUGAGGAACUGUAACAGUAAAACUACUGUGUAGUGACACACACACACACA